CCUGGUGGCGAGCGGCGAACGGGUGAGUAAUAUAUCGGAACGUGCCCAGUCGUGGGGGAGUAACCGUAGCGAAAGCUACGCUAAUACCGCAUACGAUCUAUGGAUGAAAGCGGGGGAUCGCAAGGACCUCGCGCGAUUGGAGCGGCCGAUAUCAGAUUAGGUAGUUGGUGAGGUAAAGGCUCACCAAGCCGACGAUCUGUAGCUGGUCUGAGAGGACGACCAGCCACACUGGGACUGAGACACGGCCCAGACUCCUACGGGAGGCAGCAGUGGGGAAUUUUGGACAAUGGGCGCAAGCCUGAUCCAGCAAUGCCGCGUGCAGGAUGAAGGCCUUCGGGUUGUAAACUGCUUUUGUACGGAACGAAACGGUGAGCUCUAAUACAGUUUGCUAAUGACGGUACCGUAAGAAUAAGCACCGGCUAACUACGUG
rnacentral:rRNA from 1 species